AGUGGGAUAACUGGGCCACAUGGUGGUUCCAUUUCAAGUUUUCUAAGGAAUCUCCACAUUGCUUUCCAGAGUGGUUGCACCAAUUUGCAGUCCUGUCAGCAAU
rnacentral:pre_miRNA from 1 species